rnacentral:rRNA from 1 species
CUGGAAACGGUAGCUAAUACCGCAUAACGUCGCAAGACCAAAGUGGGGGACCUUCGGGCCUCAUGCCAUCAGAUGUGCCCAGAUGGGAUUAGCUGGUAGGUGGGGUAACGGCUCACCUAGGCGACGAUCCCUAGCUGGUCUGAGAGGAUGACCAGCCACACUGGAACUGAGACACGGUCCAGACUCCUACGGGAGGCAGCAGUGGGGAAUAUUGCACAAUGGGCGCAAGCCUGAUGCAGCCAUGCCGCGUGUGUGAAGAAGGCCUUCGGGUUGUAAAGCACUUUCAGCGGGGAGGAAGGCGGUGAGGUUAAUAACCUCAUCGAUUGACGUUACCCGCAGAAGAAGCACCGGCUAACUCCGUGCCAGCAGCCGCGGUAAUACGGAGGGUGCAAGCGUUAAUCGGAAUUACUGGGCGUAAAGCGCACGCAGGCGGUCUGUCAAGUCGGAUGUGAWAUCCCCGGGCUCAACCUGGGAACUGCAUUCGAAACUGGCAGGCUAGAGUCUUGUASCAGGGRGGUAGAAUUCCAGGUAGUAGCGGYGAAAUGCGUAGAGAUCCUAGGAGGAAUACCGGUGGCGAAGGCCGGCCUCCUGGACGAAGACUGACGCUCAGGUAGC